GUAAUUCGUUUAUUCAGGUGCUAGUACAUGGAGUCGAAGUAGAGAGUAAAAUCAUGUACAGUUUUAGAGCUUGGCAGUACAGAGAGACUGCAGGAUUCCUCAUAUCUUCAACUUCAGAGCAUAUCUUACAAGUUACUGCCGGAGAGCGACUAAGGACUACAUCAGUCCAUCCUUGUUCAGUAGCAUCCAAUUGCUUGUCUUGUCUGAAAACUUUUGCAACCCAAUUGUUUCUUGGAUCGGAGGGGGAAAGCAUGUACAGUUCCAGACCUUCCCUGCACGAAUUCAUCCACCAUUUCACGUAUCAGAUCUUCCUCGACCAGUCUGCAAAUGGGUUGCCAGAUGCCAGUGACAUCUGGCGCGAUCACCUCAGCCUUGUUCACGACUCUCCUGUUCCUCUCCC